rfam:Oscillibacter valericigenes Sjm18-20 DNA, complete genome.
AAAUAUCCGUGCGCAUAACUCCACAGUAUUAUGCGCACAGAUUCAGAAAUGGAGGAUGGAAUUCCGCUCAACUUGUGGUGCGGUAGUGUGGAGAUCUACCGUAAAGUACGCGGCUUUCAAAAGCUGGGUGCGAGGGGAGUCCUCGAAAAAGGGACUUGCCAAAGUAAUGAUCGAUGGCU